rnacentral:rRNA from 1 species
AUUGAACGCUGGCGGCGUGCUUAACACAUGCAAGUCGAACGAGAACGGGUUAUAGCCUGCUAUAAUUGUCAGCUAAGUGGCGCACGGGUGAGUAAUGUAUAGGUAAUAUGCCUCUUACUAAGGGAUAACAAUUGGAAACGAUUGCUAAUACCUUAUACUCCUUGUUAACAGAAGUUAAUAAGGGAAAGAUUUAUUGGUAAGAGAUUAGCCUGUAUUGUAUCAGUUAGUUGGUGGGGUAAUGGCUUACCAAGACUAUGACACAUAACUGGUUUGAGAGGAUGAUCAGUCACACUGGAACUGAGACACGGUCCAGACUCCUACGGGAGGCAGCAGUGGGGAAUAUUGCACAAUGGACGAAAGUCUGAUGCAGCAACGCCGCGUGGAGGAUGACACAUUUCGGUGCGUAAACUCCUUUUAUAUGAGAAGAUAAUGACGGUAUUAUAUGAAUAAGCACCGGCUAACUCCGUGCCAGCCGCCGCGGUAAUAC